rnacentral:rRNA from 1 species
UACGUAGGGCGCAAGCGUUGUCCGGAAUUAUUUGGGCGUAAAGAGCUCGUAGGCGGUUUUGUCGCGUCUGCUGUGAAAACCCGAGGCUCAACCUCGGGCCUGCAGUGGGUACGGGCAGACUAGAGUGCGGUAGGGGAGAUUGGAAUUCCUGGUGUAGCGGUGGAAUGCGCAGAUAUCGGGAGGAACACCUGUGGCGAAGGCGGCCCCCUGGUUGGAUACUGACGCUGAGA